rnacentral:rRNA from 1 species
CAGUCGCCGCGGGAAUACGAAGGGUGCAAGCGUUAAUCGGAAUUACUGGGCGUAAAGCGUGCGUAGGCGGUGAGUUAAGUCUGCUGUGAAAUCCCCGGGCUCAACCUGGGAAUGGCAGUGGAUACUGGCUCGCUAGAGUGUGUCAGAGGAUGGUGGAAUUCCCGGUGCAGCGGUGAAAUGCGUAGAGAUCGGGAGGAACAUCAGUGGCGAAGGCGGCCAUCUGGGACAACACUGACGCUGAGGCACGAAAGCGUGGGGAGCAAACAGGAUUAGAUACCGCGUAGUCCCUGUCUCUUAUACA